AUGGCUCAGUGGUGGAGCGUGUGCUUAAUAUGCACAAGGUCCUGGGUUCAAUCCCCAGU
rnacentral:tRNA from 1 species